UACGUAGGGUGCGAGCGUUAAUCGGAAUUACUGGGCGUAAAGUGUGCGCAGGCGGCCGAGCAAGUCGAGUGUGAAAGCCCCGAGCUUAACUUGGGAAUUGCGCUCGAAACUACUUGGCUGGAGUGUGGCAGAGGAAGGUGGAAUUCCAGGUGUAGCGGUGAAAUGCGUAGAGAUCUGGAGGAACACCGAUGGCGAAGGCAGCCUUCUGGGCCAACACUGAUGCUCAUGCACGAAAGCGUGGGGAGCAAACAGG
rnacentral:rRNA from 1 species